ACGAUUGUUGUUUUCUCUAAAGCUUUCAAUCUCCAAUCUUCAAUUCCGGUAAAGCUUCCAAUCUCCGAUCUUCAAUUCCGUUGAAGCUUCCGAUCUUAGAGCUUCAAUCAGAGAGUUAAUUUCUUGGAUUCACGGCGAAAUCAUGGGUACUUCAUCCAUCAGUCGGAACUUCUUAUAUCUGUGUUGUACAUGGAAUAGAGCAGGAUGCUCAUUUGUAUAUGUUUUAGGAAGGGCACACACAUAUUUAGGAUGACUUUCCUAAAACAUAUUCAAGAUGCUCAUUUGUAAAAUAUUCAUGAAUUAGAAGCUUUGUUUACUGGUUACAUGUUUUGUUACAAUAACAAUAGGUCUUGGGUUCAAGUAGUUGUAUAAUUUAUUUAUUUUUUGUGGUUUUUUCUAUAUUUUAUGAAGGCCUUCCUG